rnacentral:rRNA from 1 species
UACUCCUGAUUGACCGAUAGUGAACCAGUACCGUGAGGGAAAGGCGAAAAGAACCCCGGCGAGGGGAGUGAAAAAGAACCUGAAACCGUGUACGUACAAGCAGUAGGAGCCUCUUUAUGGGGUGACUGCGUACCUUUUGUAUAAUGGGUCAGCGACUUAUAUUCUGUAGCAAGGUUAACCGCAUAGGGGAGCCGUAGGGAAACCGAGUCUUAACUGGGCGAAUGAGUUGCAGGGUAUAGACCCGAAACCCGGUGAUCUAUCCAUGGGCAGGUUGAAGGUUGGGUAACACUAAC